rnacentral:lncRNA from 1 species
GACUCGGCAUGAAUCGCUCCACCUAUAAUCAAAUAAAUUGGAAGCCAACUCAUCUCAACAGUCAAUGAAAGUGGUUUCCAGGGAAAAAAAUCUAUUUUUCUCUACCUUCAGGUGAUUCCUGAACCAUUCCGAGUCCAUCUCUCUUCCUCGGCUCUGUCUCUACAUGUGCCCAGGGAAGCACAGAUAUAGCAGAAGGCCACUGUGCUGACAGACUUGGUGACAUCAGGAACUCCUGCCUU